CGACUUCCUAUUAUCGUCCUUAGCAAUCGACUCUCUUCCAGAAUGGAAACCCCACCCUUCGACUUCUCACUGUCUGAGUCAGUUUUAAGCAAACACAAAACAACAACGGCGUGAUACGGAGGUGCAAAAUCUGCUGAAAGUAAUAGAAACCCAGGUAAAAUUUCUGUUGAAUCUGACAUUAUUACGAGCACCCAGUUUCCUUUUUGAAUGUUAUUUGCAUGUAUAUAGUGUUCUUUAAACCUGUUCAUAUCCUGUAAAAUAUCAAGAAUUUGAAUAUGAGAAAACAAUGGCAUGAUAAAGAGAUGCAAAGUGGUCUAAAAUCUUGUGAUUAAGAGCACGUUUGGCAAAGCUCUUAGUUCGCGCAUGAGAAAACUUGAGAUCUAAAAGAAAGGAAAAAAAAGUUAUUCGAACAUGUUUAGAUAAAGAAAACGUACAACUUCAAUUAUUUAAGCUGAGCCUAACAGGCUCAAAAUUCGUUGAAUAUAAUCUCGUGCAGGACUAAUUGGCAAUUGUUUACUAAAUUCAGACCUGUCCUGACUUGUAGGACAUACCUACUUUAAAUUCGGAUGGCAAGAAGAAUUAGCUCUGAGCUAUUUAUAAGCAGUAUGCGCCUCUUUUCGUUUUUUUUUUAAAUUUUCUUUAUUGUCUGGACUGUGGGUUUUGGUUGAAAUUCUAAUAUCAUAUAAGUCUUGAUUCUUUGAGAUUAGGAUUGUCGUUUUACACCACAGUGGAAGAAUUGAAAAGUUUAUUCUCUCCGUUUGGCGCAGUCUCCGAAGGUAUAAAUGAUCGUAUUUAGAACAUGUUGGCCAAGCUUAAAAAGUUCAAUUAUAGGUAAAUGAGAAAGUUUCUAAAAUAAAAGAUUUUGCGUUUAUCAAAAUUUGAAAUAAGUAAGUUGAGGAAGGUGUAAGUUUUAUUUUUAAAAAGGUUUGGAUAUAGAUGUCUUACUUAAAGCAAACUUUUACUUUGAUUAAGCUUUGGCAAACAAACUUUUAAUGGUUUUAAUUUGAGAUGUUUUCUUCUUUCUCCUAGUAAUCUACCCGGCACUGAUCUUAAACUUUCACUCAAUCUCGUGGAUGAUGACUGUGUUUAAUGCAGCAAGGCUUAUCAAAGACCCAAGAACACAAAGGCCUAAAGGAUUUGCCUUUGUGAAAUUUGCAUCAGAAGUCAAUGCCCAGAAUGCAGUGAAGGCUAUGAAUGGCAGGGUAAGAUACUUUUGCAAUCGUAUAUAUUUCUAAUGUGGUAAUGUAUGAUUGCAUAUGUAUCCCCAUGUCGAUUAUGGGGACAGUAGUUUGUGGUAACAUUUAUAAAAUGCACAUAUAUUGACACUGGUUGUAUGAUGUGCUUUGAUUGUCAAGUAUUGCUGAAGUUUCUUAAUUGCUAUGACGUUAUUUGUAAGUCACUAAAUCGGGUUUCAAUCAAUGUAUAUAUGAUCUUGAAUCAGAAUCUUCACCAUUUAAAUCCAUGUAUUUGGAUUAUGCUAGAAUUAUUUUUCUCUUACAAUCAUCGUAGAUUGAAAUGCAUUUUUCCAAAUGUUGUCCCCUUCAAGUCAUGAAAUUGCAGGUUCAAAAAUUGGUCUUUUUAGUGUGAACCUUUUUAGUUCUAAUUUAUCCUAAUCAACAUAAAAGACACUUUCUUUUCAAGUCAAGCUGUCAAAAUGUUCUUUGAAAAAUGUGGAGUUAAUGGGUUGAGAUAUCUUCCAGUGGCAUUUUACCUGUUGAUAUUUCUGAAUAAUUUUUUUCCCCUUCUCUCAAUGGCUUAAAUUGGAAAAUUAAAAAAAGAAAAUUAGCAGAGAAUUUUGUCUUGCCUGUUUCCUCUUGUCCAGUGUAAUAAGUAACCACUUAAGGCAACAUGGGUCGAUAGCAUCUCUUUCCAUCAUUUCCCGGGGGGCGGGGCGGGGUGGGGUUGGUUAUUGCAGGUUCUAAAAUUGUGAUGUUUUGUGCAUCUGUUGACAAGAUGAGUGGGUAUGCAUAAGAAGAUUGAAAAGUGAACAGAGACUAAUAUUAUGAUUGAGCAGGGAAAGAACUUAUCUUCCUAAUUUUUUUCGUCAGCUAGCCUUUAGACAGUGUGAAUUGUUGUUCUGUUCAAGAAAUAACAGUAGCACUGGACAUGUUGGAAAGCUACAACGUUGAUGAACCGAGCACGCUGUACUCUUAUCAUACUGUUAGUUUAGUACUUUUAGUACCAUUACUGUGCAUUAUAACUGCAAUUUACUUUUUGCCCCUCUCAGAGACACAAGUUCAAGCUGUUCGUACUGACUAAUUUAGUUGCAUAGAUUAAUAUAGAUAUUGAUACUGACAAGUGUUAAUGGAGCAUCUGAGUUUUAAAAGUCAGAAUUGUAUGAGUUUGAUCUCUUGUUUGAUGCUUAAAGGAUCUCCUCUUUUUCCAGCUUCCUAUAGUUUUGCUUAUCCUCCUUUCAGUUUAUUUAAUACAGGUCUUUUUGGUAUUUUUCAUGUGUUUUUGUUCCAUGUUCAACUAAAAGAAGGCUUUUCAUAGCAGUCUUAACUCUUAAUUAUUCCGCCUAAAGAAGAGGAUGUUACUGUUUGCCUUUUUUGGGGAAUCUUCUGUUGUUCACUUCAAUAUGCUUUGUCUACAUUCCCAUAGUGGAUGUUCCAUAACCUAUUGUAAGAACAUCUGAUGACCUGCUAGCAUCUUAAUCACUUGGAUGUAUUAAUCCAUUUGAGUGUGCUGCUAUUUCGUCUAAUUUUUACAUUUGUAUGCCAGUGCAGAUAGUGAAUGGAAGAUUGAUUUUUGUAGAAUUUGCAGAGAGUACAAGAUCAGCUGAAACGUCAUCCUGAAAGUUGGUUAAUUUUCUUUACUUAGGAUAUCUGUACGGGAUAUCUAAAUUGUGUAUCCAAAUUCAGUUCAUAUGGGAGAACUUUUGACGGUUUCGCAGUCUUCUUUACUGCUAUUGCCUGUGUUUUGGCUUUGAGUUCCAAAUCAACAACCGGUUUCUAUUGGUCGCAUCCAGGCAUCAUUAUCUGAUAAUUUAUGUAUGAGAUUCUUGGUGCGGGAAGCGAUAAUAAAAUUCUUGUAAUAAGAAUUAUGUAAUAAAUAAAAACGAUAUUUGAACAAUCAUGUUAUUUAUAUAUUGAAUAAUAAUUGAUUGUUGUUGAAAAGUG
rnacentral:lncRNA from 1 species